rnacentral:rRNA from 1 species
GGUUGAUCCUGCCGGACCUGACUGCUAUCGGAUUGAUACUAAGCCAUGCGAGUCAUUGUAGCAAUACAAGGCAGACGGCUCAGUAACGCGUAGUCAACCUACCCUAUGGACGGAAUAACCUCGGGAAACUGAGUAUAAUGCCCGAUAGAACACUAUACCUGGAAUGGUUUGUGUUCCAAAUAAUUUAUUGCCGUAGGAUGGGACUGCGGCCUAUCAGUUUGUUGGUGAGGUAAUGGCCCACCAAGACUAUUACAGGUACGGGCUCUGAGAGGAGUGGCCCGGAGAUGGGUACUGAGACACGGACCCAGGCCCUAUGGGGCGCAGCAGGCGAGAAAACUUUGCAAUGUGCGAAAGCACGACAAGGUUAAUCCGAGUGGUUUCUGCUAAAGGAACCUUUUGUUAGUCGUAGAACCACUAACGAAUAAGGGGUGGGCAAGUUCUGGUGUCAGCCGCCGCGGUAAAACCAGCACCUCAAGUGGUCAGGAUGAUUAUUGGGCCUAAAGCAUCCGUAGCCGGCUCUGUAAGUUUUCGGUUAAAUCUGUACGCUUAACGUACAGGCUGCCGGGAAUACUGCAGAGCUAGGGAGUGGGAGAGGUAGACGGUACUCGGGAGGAAGUGGUAAAAUGCUUUGAUCUCUCGAUGACCACCUGUGGCGAAGGCGGUCUACCAGAACACGUCCGACGGUGAGGGAUGAAAGCUGGGGGAGCAAACCGGAUUAGAUACCCGGGUAGUCCCAGCUGUAAACUAUGCAAACUCAGUGAUGCAUUGGCUUGUGGCCAAUGCAGUGUU